UACCAUUGGCAACAGCAUCUAAAAAGAACAUUAGUAGCACAGUAAGCCUUGCCAUAAAACAAAGUUUUCCAUUAUCUAGUGCAUAUCAAAUAUCAAAUUAAGGUUACAGAUUAUAUAAAUUUGGUAAAAUAUACACCUAUUUAUAUUAAUUUCUGUGAUCCACUAAUGGGAUUAUUUGACAGGUGAAACAGAUGCUGGUUGAAAUAACCAAGUUGUAUUCAUUGGCCUUAGCUCCAAAAGUAAAAACUAACUGUCAGAGAUCAUGGACUCUGCAAGACAUAAGCAUGGUGGAGUUGUAUUUUCACUGACUUUAACCAUAAGAUUAUCUGUCUUGUCAGUCAUUUUAAAAAAUAAGAGAGGUACGAAUCUCAUUGGCAAAUGUUUAGCAGAUUCUUUACACACCACACAGAAAGCAAUAUA